GCAUGGGAGACAGCCUCCACAGAGCAGGUAACAGCCUCCACAGAGUGGGUAUCAGGUUCCCCUGAGCGGCCUCCGCAGCGCGGGUACCGGUCUCCGCAGCGCGGGUGGCGGCGGCGCGGCAGGCCGCAGUGCGCACGGCGGGCCGGCAGGGGGCAGCAAAGCCCUUCAGGAGCGCGGCGGGCCGGGCGCGGGGGUGCGAGCCGCUCCGGUACCGCCUCAGCCCUCGGGACCCCGGCUGCUGUCCUGUGCGCCCCACGGCUCCCACGAACUCCGGCCCCAGCCUCGGCUGCCCACACUGUGCGGGCGGGGGCAGCCCCCUCAGCCCAGGGCCGGCGGUGCCCCUCGCCCUCCGGGCAGGGCAGGCCAGGCAGCCGCCGCGGCCCUCCUUCCUCCGAGGGAAAAAGCGUUGCUGUUGUGCUAGCGAGACCCUUACCCGGGGAAGUGUUUGUGGCGGGGCUUUGCCGACCAGGACGCGGCAGCGCUGCGGCCGAGGGCUGGGGGCGGCCAGAGGACAGGCUUUCCUGUGUAAGCACGCUGAUCCAAAUGCGUUCAUUCCUUGAGAUGUACUCCUGUUAUUGUCAGAUAUCUCCUGGAGGCUGAACACCUACCCUGGGAGGAUGCUGGGUUGGCAUCACUAAACUUGAGCUCACUUGUCACAAUGGCAAUAGAGUUGGAAUUUAAUUAUCUGCUGGAGAGGAGCCCUGACAGCUGUGGCGUAGGUUUUUCGAUGUGGAUGUUGCCUGGAUCACAAGAAAAAUACCAAGGGCUGGUGAGAACAGCCAUGUUCUAAAAGCAUCUCUGCCUGGGUUAGACCACUGUGUACGAAAGAGCACAAGAAACUUGGCAAUACCUGAAAGAAUACAGACACUUCUUUUUCUCCAGGAAAGGUGUCGCCCAGAUCUUUUGCCAAGACCCACGUUUAAGCUACCUCGUGCCCUGCAACUGAAAGGCAUCAGCUCCAUUCCACACUGACCCCCAGCCUGGGCAGCACCCUACCUGUGGCCAUCCAGCUGCCCCAGUACCACAUCCCGCUCUGCCCUCCCCAGCAAGUUUCAAUGGCACAUUACCUUGUUUACAUUGAGGUAAACAGUUAAAGUAUAGAAGCGGUCUGGUCCCCGGAAGGAUGCCUGAGAAACUGGAGAAGGGCCAGCUGAUGGGUGGCAAGAGACAGAAGUGGCGGUUUGCGGCACAGCCUGCCAGCGAAUUCGUGACUCCCAUCCAAGCACCAGAAAAGCGACUGGCAGUAGGGGAAAGACCUUAUGGCACGCAACAAUAUUUGGAAAACUUUUUUUUUUUUUCCAAACCCUGGGGAAGAGAAGACUAAACAUGCAGGUUUUCCGUUAAUAAGCCCUGUUCGACAAUGAGCCUUGGCUCUCCUGACACCAGUGCACUGCACGGGGUGGCCUUUCCUCACUGAAACUGAGACCAGGGGCUCGGACGCUGAAGCAGGAAUUGAGGGCAGGUAGCCCUCGGUGCUGUUGGGAGAGUAGUGCUGCCUCCCUGGUUGUAUGCUUUCCUCUCUGCAUUUCAAACUUUUGCUCUGUAAUUAAUGGAGUUAAGGUAUAAACAAUGCGUUGGUGUUGCCCGAGCACGGGUCCUGUGCACGCCAGGAACCGGGGAGGGAUUCCUGCACCCGUGGGAGGCUUUGCUCCCACUCUCCCUGCAACCAGAGCAGGGUUUUGGGGCAGCAUGGCCCCUGGGCUGAAGGAAAGAGGCUCUCCCUAAGCACGACGAGGGACACAAGUAUGAGCAAUUGCUUCCCAAGCAGAGACAAUCAGCUGCCUCUGGUGCUCAGUUUUACGAAAGGCGGCUCCGCUCCCUCCCACACAGGCACUGCCGUGGCUGCCGCUUCCUGAGAGCCUCUCACGCCAUGAUUGUCAGCGCUGGAGAGCACUUAACCUCCCAUCGACAAAGCUAGCGUGGAUCCAGGGCCUCCGAGCAAAACCAGGUCCUUCCUGCACCUGAGGACAGAAGUGCCAGAGGACCACCACGGCGUGGAGGUGGCACUGGGCCGGUGGUGCAGAGCUGUGGGCAGGCACAGAGCUGUGCCGAUGGCACCAUGCUGCAGCAAGGACCAAUGGCCAGAGCAGCAGGGAAAACUUUCAAGGCUUCCAAGGAUAAAGAAAAGGACCCAAGGACCCAAACCACCUGCAAUCUGCUGAAGGCACCGCUCUGCCGACUCUGGAGACCUUGAAGUGAAUAUGUAGAGCACAACACCACCAGUGAGGGAUGCAGAAUCCUUUUGCAAAACACUGAGGUACCAUUGAUCACCAAGACAAUGCCUGGAAAAGCUUCACAGCAGGUGGGAAAUAAUCGAGAGGGACUGAGGGGUCUGUCCCUCCCAGCCUGUGGGGCUGGAGUGGGGCCAGGGGCUUCCCUACGGCUUUGGCUCCUGGGCUUAUCGGCAAGGAGCUGGGGACAAGCCGAAAUAGGUGGAGGGCAGACAGCAGCCAUGUGUAGCACAGAGCAGCUGCCUGCCAUCCUCACAGCCGAGAGGGAGGAGAGCAGCUGAGGCAUCAGAGGGAGGAAGACAGCUUCAAAGCUGUAGAGAGCUCAUCAGGUAGACUGGAUAACCCCAGCCAAACGCUCCUGGUGGGUCUGCAUAAUGUAAACCUGUAGGAAGAUGGCUGGGAAGCUCAGGGUUAAUCCUCAGAGCCUCUAAAAAAAGAGAGUAAAGAAGAGGUGUCGGUGAGGGAGCUUCAGGAAAAAAGGGUUUGUCCCAAGAGGAAGGAGGGAGUGUCAAAAAGGAACCGACAGACUUUCUAAGUUUGAAGGAAAUAGCAUCCCUAAAAGUGGAGGGGCAUGUGCAUAGGUAGUGCUAAAAUGAUUCCGCUUUUUAUGACUAGUUAGUUGGUGAUGUUUAAAUAUCACCCUGGUACUGGUUUGCCAUCCCAACAAGCUGUCCCAGAGAUGUUUCUGAACAGAUGAACUGUCAGAGACCAUCAUGUAGGCAAGACAACCAAAGCUACUCCUGCCUCCACUGCCCCGCAGCACGCCUGCACGCCUGGGUGCCUACACCAAGCUCUCCAAGGCUCUGAAGCCAAAAGCUCUCCAUCUCCAACCUUCAUACAGGUGAUUUCUAGCACACCCAGGCUGUGGGCUCUCAAAGCUGCUCAUUUUACCCUAAAUUCAUUCCCACUGACCUCGAUGGGCAUUUGACUAGGCAGCACUAAACAGCACCAUUGCGCCAGCCUCGGGACUCCCACAGCUCAUUGCCAAAUGCUUUCAGGUACGUCUCAGAUAUUCAGAGUCACUCAAACCCAACUAGAGCUCCUCAGCAGGUAUCGCUGGAUUAAUCUUCCCUUAUGUGAAAUUUGGCCCUUGGACCAAACUCUGCAGACUGGAAAAACCUCAAGGGGCAAGUACAUGGCUGCAAAACACGAUGAUGAGCUUGCUGAUAUGCACAGCGAGGCUGAGAGGAAGGCAAGGCGAAGUAAAGUGAGAGAAAAUAAAAAUAAAAUGAAGAUGGGAGCAGGCUUAUUUCCCUCGCUCAGUGCAUUUUGGGAUAUUUUUUUUUUCUUCAUGAAAUAAAUGACUUUUGGAAUAAAAGAAGUGCAACAGCA